GCCUGGUUGGCUCAGUCGGUUAAGCAUCUGCCUUCAGCUCAGGUCAUGAUCUCGGUGUCCUGGGAUCGAGCCCCACAUCAGGCU
rnacentral:tRNA from 1 species